rnacentral:rRNA from 1 species
GACGAACGCUGGCGGCGUGCUUAACACAUGCAAGUCGAACGGGCCUGUCUUCUUUUUUGGGGGGUGGGUUGAGUGGCGAACGGGUGAGUAUCACGUGAGUAACCUGCCCUUCGGUCCUGGAUAACCGCUUGAAAGGGCGGCUAAUACGGGGUGGUCCGGUUGGUCCGCAUGGGCUGGUCGGGAUAGAUUCACUGUUUUUGGUGUUUCGGCGGGGGAUGGGCUCGCGGCCUAUCAGCUUGUUGGUGGGGUGAUGGCCUACCAGGGCGGGGACGGGUAGCCGGCCUGAGAGGGUGGGCGGCCACAGUGGGACUGGGCUACGGCCCAGACUCCUGCGGGAGGCAGCAGUGGGGGGUAUUGCACAAUGGGCGGCAGCCUGAUGCAGCGACGUCGCGUGAGGGAUGGAGGCCUUCGGGUUGUGAACCUCUGUUUCCGGUGGUGAAGGCCCUGUCCGUGUGGUGGGGUUGACGGUAGCCGGGGAUGAAGCGCCGGCUAACUACGUG